rnacentral:rRNA from 1 species
UGGGGAAUAUUGCACAAUGGGCGCAAGCCUGAUGCAGCCAUGCCGCGUGUAUGAAGAAGGCCUUCGGGUUGUAAAGUACUUUCAGCGAGGAGGAAGGUGUUGUGGUUAAUAACCGCAGCAAUUGACGUUACUCGCAGAAGAAGCACCGGCUAACUCCGUGCCAGCAGCCGCGGUAAUACGGAGGGUGCAAGCGUUAAUCGGAAUUACUGGGCGUAAAGCGCACGCAGGCGGUCUGUCAAGUCGGAUGUGAAAUCCCCGGGCUCAACCUGGGAACUGCAUCCGAAACUGGCAGGCUAGAGUCUUGUAGAGGGGGGUAGAAUUCCAGGUGUAGCGGUGAAAUGCGUAGAGAUCUGGAGGAAUACCGGUGGCGAAGGCGG